GAGUUUGAUCGUGGCUCAGAACGAACGCUGGCGGCAUGCCUAACACAUGCAAGUCGAACGAUGGCUUCGGCCAUAGUGGCGCACGGGUGCGUAACGCGUGGGAAUCUGCCCUUGGGUUCGGAAUAACUCAGAGAAAUUUGAGCUAAUACCGGAUGAUGUCGAAAGACCAAAGAUUUAUCGCCCAGGGAUGAGCCCGCGUAGGAUUAGCUAGUUGGUGGGGUAAAGGCUCACCAAGGCGACGAUCCUUAGCUGGUCUGAGAGGAUGAUCAGCCACACUGGGACUGAGACACGGCCCAGACUCCUACGGGAGGCAGCAGUGGGGAAUAUUGGACAAUGGGCGAAAGCCUGAUCCAGCAAUGCCGCGUGAGUGAUGAAGGCCCUAGGGUUGUAAAGCUCUUUUACCCGGGAUGAUAAUGACAGUACCGGGAGAAUAAGCCCCGGCUAACACCGUGCCAGCCGCCGCCGUAAC
rnacentral:rRNA from 1 species